ACACAGCUUGGUAUUCAUCCAGCAGUCUAUGUCCUGGCCUUGUGUCAAGGGCUCGCUGUGUGCUGUCACAGUUUAGUGCUUUACCAAGUGCAGCACUAAAGCCGGAGCCGCAAGUCUUCCAAGCCCAGGGGGUAAAGACAUGCUCUGAGUUAGAACUCAGUGGCACAACU